rnacentral:tRNA from 1 species
GUGACAGUGGCGUAGUGGUUAGCGCACCAACCCCAGUUUGGCGCGAGACCCGGGUUCGAAUCCCGGCUUUUGCG